AAUCAACGCUGGCGGCGCGCUUAACACAUGCAAGUCGAGCGAGAAAGUGGAGCAAUCCAUGAGUACAGCGGCGUACGGGUGAGUAACACGUGGGUCAUCUACCUUUUAGUGGGGAAUAACCCUGGGAAACCGGGGCUAAUACCGCAUAAUCCUGUGAAGGGAAAGCAGCAAUGCGCUGAAAGAGGAGCCCGCGGCCGAUUAGCUAGUUGGUGAGGUAACGGCUCACCAAGGCGACGAUCGGUAGCCGGCCUGAGAGGGCACACGGCCACACUGGCACUGAAACACGGGCCAGACUCCUACGGGGGGCAGCAGUGGGGAAUCUUGCACAAUGGAGGCAACUCUGAUGCAGCGACGCCGCGUGAGCGAUGAACGCCCCUCGGGGGUGUAAAGCUCUUUCGGCGAGGGACGAUAAUGACGGUACCUGAAGAAGAAGCUGCGGCUAACUACGUGCCAGCAG
rnacentral:rRNA from 1 species